GGGCCCGCACAAGCGGUGGAGUAUGUGGUUUAAUUCGAUGCAACGCGAAGAACCUUACCAGGGUUUGACAUCCUGCGAAUCUCUUGGAAACAGGAGAGUGCCUUCGGGAACGCAGUGACAGGUGGUGCAUGGCUGUCGUCAGCUCGUGUCGUGAGAUGUUGGGUUAAGUCCCGCAACGAGCGCAACCCACGUCUUUAGUUGCCAGCAUUUAGUUGGGCACUCUAGAGAGACUGCCGGUGAUAAACCGGAGGAAGGUGUGGAUGACGUCAAGUCAUCAUGCCCCUUACGGGUAGGGCUACACACGUGCUACAAUGGCCAGUACAAAGGGAAGCGAAAUUGUGAAAUGGAGCAAAUCCUAUCAAAGCUGGUCUCAGUCCGGAUUGGAGUCUGCAACUCGACUCCAUGAAGUAGGAAUCGCUAGUAAUCG
rnacentral:rRNA from 1 species